rnacentral:rRNA from 1 species
AUGCUACAAGGGGAGCGGGCGCGUCCCGAUCGGACGGCUGCGAACGCAACCGCGGCCGAUAUAUACCUCGCCCCGCGCCACACUCCAAUGGCGUCCGCCGCAUCCACCUCCGCCUCCGCCGCCGUCGCCGUCGCCUCCCGCCUGCUCCUGCGCCGCGCGCCGCACCUGCUGCGCCGCCUCCCCCGCGCGCGCCCCGCGGCCUCGUCGUCUCAUCCGUCGUCGUCGUCGUUCGGCGCCGCCGCCGCUCUCCGACGCCCGCUCGGGCACCGCGCCAGGAUGGGCCACACCUCCGCCGCGGCGUCAGCUGUCCCCGCGCUCGGGCUCACCAAGGCCAACGCCGUCGAGCUCCCCCAGGUUGCUUUCACCGGCAAGGACAUUGAAUUCUCUGACUGGAAGGGCGACAUCCUCGCCGUCGCGGUCACGGAGAAGGAUCUGUACAAAGGCUCAGACUCCAAAUUUGAGAAUGCUGUGCUGAAGAAGCUCGACGCCCAGCUCAGUGGUCUCCUGUCUGAGGCCUCAGCCGAGGAGGAUUUCACCGGGAAGGCCGGGCAGUCGGUGGUUCUCCGCCUCUCUGGGCAGGGCUUCAAGAGGGUGGCUCUGGUUGGCCUCGGCCAGAGUGCCCCAUCCACCGCCGCGGCUUGCCGGGGUAUCGGUGAGUCCGUUGCAUCGGUUGCCAAGUCUGCUCAGGCUAGCAGCGUUGCUAUUGUCCUUGCAUCCCCAGCUGGGAUCCAGGAAGGGUUCAAGCUCAACGCUGCCGCGGCAAUCGCUUCUGGAACCGUGCUUGGCUUGCAUGAGGACAGCAGAUUCAAGGCUGAGUCGAAGAAGGUGCAUCUUAAACAAGUAGAUCUUAUUGGACUGGGUUCUGGUUCAGAGCUGGACCAGAAACUUAAGUAUGUGAAUGAUCUUUCCUCGGGCGUGAUUUUCGGGAAAGAGCUUGUCAACGCACCUGCAAAUGUCCUUACCCCUGCUGUACUUGCGGAGGAGGCAUCAAAGAUUGCUUCUGAAUACAGUGAUGUAUUCACUGCCACAAUAUUAGAUGUAGAGAAAUGCCAGGAGCUAAAGAUGGGCUCCUACUUGGGAGUUGCUGCAGCUUCUGCAAAUCCUCCUCACUUCAUCCACUUGUGCUACAAACCCGUUGGCGGCAAUGUCAAGAGAAAGCUGGCUAUUGUUGGGAAGGGUCUAACUUUUGACAGUGGAGGCUACAACAUUAAGACUGGACCAGGCUGCAGUAUUGAACUGAUGAAGUUUGACAUGGGAGGUUCAGCAGCAGUAUUUGGUGCAGCAAAAGCUUUGGCCCAAAUCAAGCCUCCUGGAGUAGAGGUUCACUUUAUUGUUGCUGCCUGUGAGAAUAUGAUUAGUGGCACAGGAAUGAGACCUGGUGACAUUUUGACUGCCUCUAACGGGAAGACAAUUGAGGUAAAUAACACUGACGCUGAAGGGAGGCUUACGCUUGCUGAUGCUUUGGUCUAUGCUUGUAAUCAAGGUGUUGACAAGAUUAUUGAUCUGGCAACACUAACUGGUGCCUGUGUUGUUGCACUUGGGCCUAGCAUUGCUGGAAUCUUCACACCAAGUGAUGAACUAGCCCAGGAAGUCACCGCUGCAUCUGAGUUAUCGGGGGAGAAGUUCUGGAGAUUGCCCAUGGAGGAAAGCUACUGGGAACAGAUGAAGUCUGGUGUGGCCGACAUGGUCAACACCGGUGGCCGACAGGGCGGCUCAAUCACCGCUGCCCUGUUCCUUAAACAGUUUGUCGAUGAGAAGGUUCAGUGGAUGCACAUCGACAUGGCGGGGCCGGUGUGGAACGACAAGAAGCGUGCCGCCACAGGAUUCGGCGUGUCCACCUUGGUGGAGUGGGUCCUCAAGAACUCAUCAUCAUCCUGA